rnacentral:rRNA from 1 species
AACGCGUAGGAAUCUGCCUGAUAGUGGGGGAUAGCCCGGAGAAAUUCGGAUUAAUACCGCAUAAUCUAUUCGUAGUAAAGUGGGGGACUUUCGAGCCUCACGCUAUCAGAUGAGCCUGCGUAAGAUUAGCUUGUUGGUAGGGUAAAAGCCUACCAAGGCUACGACCUUUAGCUGGUCUGAGAGGAUGAUCAGCCACAUCGGGACUGAGACACGGCCCAAACUCCUACGGGAGGCAGCAGUGGGGAAUAUUGGACAAUGGGGGCAACCCUGAUCCAGCAAUACCGCGUGUGUGAAGAAGGCCUGAGGGUUGUAAAGCACUUUCAAUUGUGAAGAAAAGUUAACGGUUAAUAACCGUUGACCUUGACGUUAACUUUAGAAGAAGCACCGGCUAACUCCGUGCCAGCAGCCGCGGUAAUACGGAGGGUGCAAGCGUUAAUCGGAAUUACUGGGCGUAAAGCGUGCGUAGGCGGUUUAUUAAGUCAGAUGUGAAAGCCCCGGGCUUAACCUGGGAACUGCAUUUGAAACUGGUAAACUAGAGUAUGGUAGAGGAAAGUGGAAUUUCUGGUGUAGCGGUGAAAUGCGUAGAUAUCAGAAGGAACAUCAAUG